UAUCUCAAAAAUAAAAAAUAAACAUUAAAAAAUUUUUAAAUAAGUAACCUUUCCCCUCUCUUCUGCAAACCUCCUCUCCUCCCUUCUUAGCCUUUUUUCAGGAACUCUGUACACCCUGAAAACAUGACAAACAAGGCUAACAGCUCACACACGAUACCUGUUGAAGCCAGCCAGAUCUCUAUUUCCUUAGAACCCCCCGGCUAGUCCCGUCCUCUGGGGGGCAGGGGUGGCAAUCCUGAAGGCCUUAGGCUGCGGCAGCCUCCUCUGUCCAGUAAAACAAUAAAACCCUGGUUGUUUUCCAUCCCAGACUCUAUCUUCGCAUUACCAGUUCCAGCUCUGGAGCACAGAGGUCGACGUUCGACAAGUUCACCCAGUAGGAGUGAAAAGAAAGUCAUCAAAGAGAUUAGAUUACUUGAUGAAGCAUCCUAUCUCAGCCAUAUUUUAAUCCUUCUGAUUUUCCAACUAAUUAAGGUUUAACAGGCUGGUGGAACCAAUUCAAACCCACUUCCAUUCCCGGGACCCACCUCCAAAGUAACUCCAGUCAACUAUUUGGCCAACAGGACUUCAAGCAUUUUCCGUGCACAUGGCAACGACCAUUCAGCGAACACCUGUGAUAUGUCAAGUCCAAGUGUACAAACUCUUCACCUGUAUCAAUCCAGCUGCUGCUUUACACGUUCUCUAGGAGAUCACUGAUACCAAGUGCUGCUUGUAGCUGCCUCAUCAUAUGAUCUAGACACAGCACAACGACAAGGAGGGGGUCAGUGGCUGGACGUCACUCCUAAGUAAGGACAGAAGGAAAAGCCUGGCACUAAGCAGCAAAGACAGCACCAAAAUUGUUCAAGGGCCUGGAGGCAUCCAGUGGGAGAGAGAAAGGGCAUUUCCUGGUGACCAGGUGCUCACGGUCUACUUUACCGCAAUAAGCAAGACACCCUACCAAACCAUCAGCCUGGAGUGAGUCCAACAGCACCAAGCGUGGAUUAAUGGAGCAAAAGGAACACAGUUCCAUGUGGAACUCCAGAUUAUAAAGAUGACAAGUCACAGCUUAAGUGACAGGCUAAGUCCCGGGCCCAGCUCAAAGAACUAGUAUCUGAUGAUGUGUCGGGCAACAUCUAUCUGUUACCUAUGUGUAAACAUCACAUACCCCUUUCUAGAUCAUCUCAUUACCUCAAAGAUCUCACUCUUGCAUAAG